rnacentral:rRNA from 1 species
GAUGAACGCUGGCGGCGUGCCUAAUAUAUGCAAUUCUAGCGAACAGACGAGGAGCUUGCUCCUCUGACGUUAGCGGCGGACGGUUGAUUAACACUUGGAUAACCUACCUAUAUGACUGGGAUAACUUCGGGACACCGGAGCUAAUACCUGCUAAUAUAUUCAACCUUAUGGUUCAAUCUUGAAAUACGGUUUUGCUGUCACUUAUAGAUGGAUCCGAUCCGCAUUAUCUAGUUGGCUAGGUAACGGCUUACCAAGGCAACGAUUCGUAGCCGACAUGAGAGGAUGAUAGGACACACUGGAACCGAGACACAGUCCAGACUCCUACGGGAGGCAGCAGUAGGGCAUCUUAAGAAAUGGGCGAAAGCAGGACGGAGCAAAGCCGCGUGAGUCAUGAUGGUCUUCGGAUCGUAAAUCUGUGUUAUGAGGGAAGAACAAAUGUGUAACUAACUAUGCACGUCUAGACGGGACCUAAGCAGAAAGCCACGGCUACCUCCGUG